rnacentral:lncRNA from 1 species
AAGGAAAGCAAGGAGACGACUUCAGUCCUGGAGAGCGGGAUGGCGCCCAGGGGCUGGGGGACCGAAAGGGCGUCAGUGGGGAGUGGGCGACGAAAGGGGAGAUGGUUUCUCUUCUGGCCAAGCCUAACCCGGAACCACGGAUGGAAGGGCACUCUGAGACACGAGGCCCUGUCUCAGCUACGUUGUCACAAGGUGCAGCCAUUGCGGGCGCAGAGGGACGUCUUUGUCCAUCAGAUGGCGGCCCUGCCCCGCGUGUGGCCCUCAGUGGGGUCCAGCGACUUCACGAGCCUCGAGCUCCCUACUGGGGCACCGGGCUCUGCGAUGUCUGCCCCCUGACCUCAGCCAGGACCUCCUCGCCCGUCCCGGUCGCACUGCUCCUCCUCGAGCUCCUCAGGCCUCCAUGGGGCACCCUGGCCCUUGGACUUCAGUGCCCUUGGCCUGGGGUCCCCGCUCCAGGCCUCGGCCUCCAUGGCCCUGCCUCCCCCUGGAACAUUUCCCUCCCUUUCUUGUGCGUCUCCCGCACGAGGACGUCCCCUCCUCGAGGCCCCUCAGCAGGCAUCCCGGCUCGGAGCAGGCAUUCUGCCCGUGGUAACCCUCUGCCUGCAGGAGCCUUCGAGUCGGAAGAGACGGGCCGUCCGGAGGAUGCUGGCGGGAGGUGCGCCCGUCCUGCAACAGGAGGAUGAGGCCGACCCAGACGUAAAAUUAAAACCCUCCCUGAGGACGCCAAAGGCCUCCUGGAGCCAUCGCCCAUGCCAGCCCCCUCCCCAGAAGGAACCGCCAUCUCUCCGGGGUCCCCAUGUGCAUGCAUCUCCUGACCCCCUAACUCCUUCCCCCCCAUCCGCCCCCACCCCACAGGCCAGACCAUGAAGAGCAUCUUCAGUCGUCAUGGUGACAGAUACUGCUGGCUGCCCACCCAAUGGUCAUCACCUCCCCUUCCCUCACCUUGCCUUGGCUAAUAGAUCCCCAGUUUGGUUUUGGGUGGUGACAUGGCCCAUCCUGGGGCACUGAUCAUAAUUGCCCAAGCCAAUUGAUCUGUCCCAUCCCUCUUGUCAGUUACACGCUUGUUUGGCUAUGUGACAUCCCCCACCCACCCGCCACCUCCCUGCUCCAGCCAAGACUGCUUGGAGGAUUUCUGAAGAAAGUCAGUCAAUUAUCUCCUGCCACAGGAAUGCUGUGUAAGACGCAACCACCGAACCUUGGUGGAGGAUAAGAGUGAGCGUUUCCUGCUCGUGCCCCUGGAGUGAGCCGGGGGCGGGCUCAGUGGCUCUGCGGGUCUUGGCGGGGCUCGCUCGCAGGUCUGGCGAGUGGAGGUGUUGAGUGAGGGAGACUGGGCCUGGGCCGCUAGAGCAGCUCGACGGCUCCACGCGCCUCUCUCGCCCGCCUGCAAGCCAGCCCAGCCUCACAAGCCCAACUCAAGCUUCUGCUGGUGUCACGUCUCCUGAUGCCCCACCGGCCAGGGCUGAGCCCAGAGCCAGAGUAGGAGGGCGCCACCAAGUUUCAAGGCCAAGGCAUGGAUCCAGGGAAAAGAGGAGAACAGGGCAGUGUUUGCAAUCUACCAGAGAAACUCUUUCUGGAUAAAAAUAUCGAGACUCUAAGAAGAAAGGCUUUUGCUAUUGCUUUCUACCUUUCCCACUUGGGACAAUGGAGCAGAUACGUGAUGGUUGGAGCUGCAGCAGCCAUCUUGUGACCAUGAGGCAACAAGCAUGAGGAUCAAAAACAUGAGUACUCUGAGAACAGCAGAGCAGAAGGAUAUGAAAGCCUGAUGAUGUGGCUGAGCUGUGGAACCAUCCCUGGCCACCUACCUCCAGUCAUUGUUGGUUGAGUGUUAUUUUUUCCUGUAGCCAAACUCAUCCUAACAGAUAUCGCUUGAUUCUAGGGCUGCUGAGCAUGCCCUUUUUCAAGAAAUGCCUAUCUCUAUCCCAGCCUCUACCUCAGUGCUUGACAUUUGUAUUUUCCAAAUCUAGCCACAAAACAUGUCCCACUCCACAUGCUCUUUUUUUUUUUUUUUUUUUGGUGAGGAAGAUUGGCCCUGAUCUAAUAUCUAUGUCAAUCUUCCUCUAUUUUGUACGUGGGAUGCUGCCACAGCAUGGCUUGAUGAGGGGUGUGUGGUUCCAGCCUGGGAUCCAAAAGUGCAAAUCCCAGCUUGCCAAAGCAGAGGGCGCAAACCUAACCACUACACCACCAGGCCAGCCCCUCACAUGCUCUUCUUACAAUGUGACUUUGGCGUAUCUCCUGCUACGAGUUGGGGUUCUAGGUUCCUUACCCUUGAAUCCGGGCAGGCUUGGGUCUAUAGCAGAAGUGACCUGUUACAGGUUGAACGGUGUCCCUCCCCCACCCCAAAUUUCUCUAUUGGAGUCCCAACUCUCGACACCUCAGAAUGUAACCUUGCUCAGAAAUAGGGUUGGCGACCUCACACAAAGGAGACCCCUGGACACAGACGCGCACACGGGGAGAGAGCCAUGUGAAGGUGGAGGCAGAGAUGGGGGUGACGCAGCCACAGCAACGAACCCCAAGGUCGGCCAGCAAACCACGGGAGCUGGAGAGAGGCUGGACCGGGCUCCCCCUCGGCCUCGGGGGGACCAGCUGACACCUGCAUCCUGGACCUUGAGCCGCCGGAGUUAGAAGCGAGACAGUUAGUCUCGGUGCUUUAAGCCACGCGGUUUGCGGGACUUUGUCACCACAGGCCCACCCUGUCGCUGGAACAGAGUGUCGCCACGAGGACAACAGCCUUGCUGAGUUCUCUGGGUCCUUCCAGCAAACCCUUCACCCUGCGGGUGGCCUUGGGGACCCCGAGGUUCCGCCCAGCCCUUCACACGCUGGGUUGUCCCUCCCCGGUCACGCCUGCCCACCCACCCCGCCACGGCGCCAUCCCCACGCCCCGGGAGGAAGCCGCUGGGCUCUCAGCUCCCUUUCCCCAGGACGGAAGGAAAAGUCUGAGAACUCACUUACACUCGGGAUUCAACCACGAUUCUCAUUUGACUUCAUGUUGUUUUCAAUGACUUUAUUGAGGUCAUGUUGGUUUAUAACAUUGUGCAAUUUCAGGUGCACGUUAUUACAUAUCAGCUUCGGUGUAGACUGCAUCGUGCUCACCACUGAUGGUCUGGUUUUUAUCCAUCACUAUAUAUAUGCGCCCGUUUAUCUCUCUCACCUUACCCCCAGCCCCUUUCUCUCUGGUAACCACUAAUCUGUUCUCUUUAUCCGUGUAUUUUUUAUCUUCCACAUAGGAGUGAAAUCACAUGGCGUUUGUCUUUCUCUGUCUGGCUUAUUUCGCUUAAUGUCAUUCCCUCAAGGUCCAUCCAUGUUGUUGCAAAUGGGACGAUUCUGUCCUUUUUAUGGCUGAGUAGUAUUCCACUCUCUCUCUAUACCAUGUCUUUGUUAUCCAUUCAUCCAUAGAGGGGAACUUAGGUUGUUUCCACAUCUUGGCCAUUGUGAAUAAUGCUGCUGUGAACCUAGGGGAGCAUGAGUCUCUUUCCCUGAUUCUUUUUUUUUUUUGAGGAAGAUUAGCCAAUCCUCCUCUUUUUGCUGAGGAAGACUGGCCCUGAGCUAACAGCGUGCCCAUCGUCCUCUACUUUAUACAUGGGACGCCUACCACAGCAUGGCGUGCCAAGUGGUGCCAUGUCCGCACCCGGGAUCUGAACCAGCGAACCCCGGGCCACCAAAAUGGAACAUGUGCACUUAACCCCUGCACCACCAGGCCAGCCUCUCCUUGAUUCUUAUUUUAAGAGCCUCGAGCUGGUAGGAUGGAAGGAUGGGGGUCAAGCAAGUGAGAAAUGAAGGGGAGACCAGCGGAGCCGGGAAAAUCCCAGUGUUCCGGCUCACAUUCCAGGGUCGUCUUCCUGGGGCCCCGGGGAUGUCACUCCAGACGCAGACAGGGGCCCCUGCACUGUUCAG